AACGAACGCUGGCGGCAGGCCUCAAACAUGCAAGUCUAGGGGGUGUAGCAAUACAUCACCGGCGGACGGGUGCGUAACACGUGGGAAUAUACCUUUUGGUUCGGAACAACGCAGGGAAACUUGCGCUAAUACCGAAUGUGCCCUUACGGGGAAAGAUUUAUCGCCAAAGGAUUAGCCCGCGUCCGAUUAGCUAGUUGGUGAGGUAAUGGCUCACCAAGGCUCCGAUCGGUAGCUGUUCUGAGAGGAAGAUCAGCCACACUGGGACUGAGACACGGCCCAGACUCCUACGGGAGGCAGCAGUUGGGAAUCUUGGACAAUGGGGGAAACCCUGAUCCAGCCAUGCCGCGUGAGUGAUGAAGGCCUUCGGGUUGUAAAACUCUUUCGACGGGGACGAUAAUGACGGUACCCGUAGAAGAAGCUCCGGCUAACUUCGUGCCAGCAGGCGCGGUAAUACGAAGGGGGCUAGCGUUGUUCGGAAUUACUGGGCGUAAAGCGCGCGCAGGCGGUCUUCCAAGUCAGUGGUGAAAGCCCGGAGCUCAACUCCGGAACUG
rnacentral:rRNA from 1 species